rnacentral:rRNA from 1 species
CCUACGGGUGGCUGCAGUGGGGAAUAUUGGACAAUGGGGGGAACCCUGAUCCAGCCAUGCCGCGGGGGUGAAGAAGGCCCUCGGGUUGUAAAGCACUUUCAGUGAGGAAGAACGCCUGGUGGUUAAUACCCAUCAGGAAAGACAUCACUCACAGAAGAAGCACCGGCUAACUCCGUGCCAGCAGCCGCGGUAAUACGGAGGGUGCGAGCGUUAAUCGGAAUUACUGGGCGUAAAGCGCGCGUAGGUGGCUUGAUAAGCCGGUUGUGAAAGCCCCGGGCUCAACCUGGGAACGGCAUCCGGAACUGUCAAGCUAGAGUGCAGGAGAGGAAGGUAGAAUUCCCGGUGUAGCGGUGAAAUGCGUAGAGAUCGGGAGGAAUACCAGUGGCGAAGGCGGCCUUCUGGACUGACACUGACACUGAGGUGCGAAAGCGUGGGUAGCAAACAGGAUUAGAUACCCCAGUAGUC